rnacentral:rRNA from 1 species
GACGAACGCUGGCGGCGUGCUUAACACAUGCAAGUCGAACGAAGAGCGAUGGAAGCUUGCUUCUAUCAAUCUUAGUGGCGAACGGGUGAGUAACGCGUAAUCAACCUGCCCUUCAGAGGGGGACAACAGUUGGAACCGACUGCUAAUACCGCAUACGAUCUAAUCUCGGCAUCGAGGAUAGAUGAAAGGUGGCCUCUACAUGUAAGCUAUCACUGAAGGAGGGGAUUGCGUCUGAUUAGCUAGUUGGAGGGGUAACGGCCCACCAAGGCGAUGAUCAGUAGCCGGUCUGAGAGGAUGAACGGCCACAUUGGGACUGAGACACGGCCCAGACUCCUACGGGAGGCAGCAGUGGGGAAUCUUCCGCAAUGGACGAAAGUCUGACGGAGCAACGCCGCGUGAGUGAUGACGGCCUUCGGGUUGUAAAGCUCUGUUAAUCGGGACGAAAGGCCUUCUUGCGAAUAGUGAGAAGGAUUGACGGUACCGGAAUAGAAAGCCACGGCUAACUACGUG